rnacentral:rRNA from 1 species
GACGAACGCUGGCGGCGUGCCUAAUACAUGCAAGUCGAACGCAGUGGGGACGGGUGAGUAACACGUGGGUAACCUCCCAUCAGAGGGGAUAACACUUGGAAACAGGUGCUAAACCGCUACUGAUGGAUGGACCAGGGGUGCAUUAGCUAGUUGGUGAGGUAACGGCUCACCAAGGCCACGAUGCAUAGCCGACCUGAGAGGAUGACCGGCCACACUGGAACUGAGACACGGCCCAGACUCCUACGGGAGGCAGCAGUGGGGAAUAUUCGGCAAUGGACGAAAGUCUGACCGAGCAACGCCGCGUGAGUGAAGAAGGUUUUCGGGUCGUAAAACACUGUUAUUGGGGAAGCGUUAUCUGCCCAAGAAGCCACGGCUAACUACGUGCCAGCAGCCGCGGUAAUUC